rnacentral:rRNA from 1 species
UACGUAGGGCGCAAGCGUUGUCCGGAAUUAUUGGGCGUAAAGAGCUCGUAGGCGGCUUGUCACGUCGAUUGUGAAAGCCCGAGGCCUAACCUCGGGUCUGCAGUCGAUACGGGCUAGCUAGAGUGUGGUAGGGGAGAUCGGAAUUCCUGGUGUAGCGGUGAAAUGCGCAGAUAUCAGGAGGAACACCGGUGGCGAAGGCGGAUCUCUGGGCCAUUACUGACGCUGAGGAGCGAAAGCGUGGGGAGCGAACAGG